rnacentral:rRNA from 1 species
GACGAACGCUGGCGGCGUGCUUAACACAUGCAAGUCGAACGGCAAGGCCCUGCUUUUGUGGUGUUCUCGAGUGGCGAACGGGUGCGUAACACGUGAGUAACCUGCCCUUGACUUUGGUAUAACUUCAGGAAACUGGGGCUAAUACCGUAUCGGAGCUCCUGCUGCAUUGUGGGGGUUGGAAAUUUUCGGCGGUUGGGGAUGGACUCGCGGCUUAUCAGCUUGUUGGUGGGGUAGUGGCUUACCAAGGCUUUGACGGGUAGCCGGCCUGAGAGGGUGACCGGCCACAUUGGGACUGAGAUACGGACCAGACGCCUACGGGAGGCAGUAGUGGGAAAUAUUGCACAAUGGGAGGAAGCCUGAGGCAGCAACGCCGCGUGCGGGAUGACGGCCUGCGGGUUGUAAACAGCUUUAGCCUGUGACGAAGCGUGAGUGACGGUAAUGGGUAAAGAAGCACCGGCUAACUACGUG